rnacentral:rRNA from 1 species
GUAGUCUCGCACAGAUGCAUAUCAAUAAGCGGAGGAAAAGAAACUAACAAGGAUUCCCUCAGUAACGGCGAGUGAAGCGGGAAGAGCUCAAAUUUGAAAUCUUGAAAGGUCACCUUUCACGAAUUGUAGUUUAAAGAAGUGUUUUCUGUUACGAUCGUAAUAUAAGUUCUUUGGAAUAGGACAUCACAGAGGGUGAGAAUCCCGUCUAUGAUUGCGAUUUGUAGCUUUGUGAUACACUUUCAAAGAGUCGGGUUGUUUGGGAAUGCAGUCCAAAAUGGGAUGGUAAAUUUCUUCUAAGGCUAAAUAUUGGCGAGAGACCGAUAGCGAACAAGUACCGUGAGGGAAAGAUGAAAAGAACUUUGAAAAGAGAGUUAAACAGUACGUGAAGUUGUCAAAAGGGAAGCGUUUAACACCAGUGUUGUUUUCUGAAAAUCAACCUCUGUUAGCUUUAUGCAUGUUUGUUUAGACCUAAUCAGCUAUCUUGCAUGUUCUAUUGUUUGCAGUGGUGCACUUUUCAGUUUACAGGUCAACAUCAGUUUUUUUUACCGUAAAAAAGUUAAAGAAAGGUAGCUCAUGGCUCCGGUCGUGAGUGUUAUAGUCUUUUUCCUAUGCGGUAGGAGAGACUGAGGUCUGCAGUGUAGGCUAUUUGGCUAGAUACUCAGGUGCUAUGUGAUACCAUUUCAUAAACAACUUGUUGAUUAUGUUUUGUCUAUUGCAUACUCGCUUGUACUAUCAUACCUACGCUUAGGAUGUUGAGUCGUAGAGCACGCAG